rnacentral:snoRNA from 1 species
CUACGGGGAUGAUCUCAAAAGUUGAACUCUCUCUUUCUGAUGAAUUAGUGGAGAAAACAAACAUUCUGAGUAGC